rnacentral:rRNA from 1 species
AGCAGCCGCGGUAAUUCCAGCUCCAAUAGCGUAUAUUAAAGUUGUUGCAGUUAAAAAGCUCGUAGUUGAAUUUCGGGAUUGGCGCAUCGGUCGUGCCUUACGGGGUAUGAACUGGUGCAGUCAAUUUCUCACCUUCUGGAGAACCGCGAUGUCCUUAAUUGGGUGCCGCGGGGAACCAGGACCUUUACUUUGAAAAAUUAGAGUGUUUAAAGCAGGCAUUUUUGCUUGAAUACAUUAGCAUGGAAUAAUAAAAUAGGACGGCAUGGUUCUAUUUUGUUGGUUUCUAGGACCACCGUAAUGAUUAAUAGGGAUAGUUGGGGGCAUUAGUAUUCAAUUGUCAGAGGUGAAAUUCUUGGAUUUAUUGAAGACUAACUACUGCGAAAAGCAUUUGCCAAGGAUGUUUUCAUUAAUCAAGAACGAAAGUUAGGGGAUCGAAGAC